AAUUAAGUACGGCACGUUGUCCUUGUAACGGGGAUCCAGCAGGCUGGCCAUCCAGUAAUCAGCGCAAGUUAGAAUGUGGUCAACUCUGCAGUCGUUGCGCAGGCACUUUGGUGACUCUAGAUAACCUUGGGCCAAUCGCACGUCCCUGUGACGGCGACGAAGCAUUCGGGUGUCUGCCCUAUCAACUUUCGAUGGCACUUUCUCCGCCUACCAUGGUGACCACGGGUAACGGGGAAUCAGGGUUCGAUUCAA